GGUGGCUCAGUUGUAGAGCACUUGCCUCACAUGCAUAAAGCCCUGGGUUCGAUUCCUCAGCACCA
rnacentral:tRNA from 1 species